GACGAAGGGGGGCUAGCGUUGUUCGGAAUCAUUGGGCGUAAAGCGGGUGUAGGCGGCUCUAUAAGUCAGAAGUGAAAGCCCCAGGCUUAACCUGGGAAGUGCUUUUGAUACUGCAGAGCUUGAAUGUGGGAGAGGGUAGUGGAAUUCCAGGUGUAGUGGUGAAAUACGUGGAUAUCUGGAGGAACACCGGUGGCGAAGGCGGCUACCUGGCCCAACAUUGACGCUGAGACCCGAAAGCAUGGGGAUCAAACAGG
rnacentral:rRNA from 1 species